AGCGAACGCUGGCGGCAGGCCUAACACAUGCAAGUCGAACGGACCCUUCGGGGUUAGUGGCGGACGGGUGAGUAACACGUGGGAACGUGCCUUUAGGUUCGGAAUAGCUCCUGGAAACGGGUGGUAAUGCCGAAUGUGCCCCUCGGGGGAAAGAUUUAUCGCCUUUAGAGCGGCCCGCGUCUGAUUAGCUAGUUGGUGAGGUAAUGGCUCACCAAGGCGACGAUCAGUAGCUGGUCUGAGAGGAUGACCAGCCACACUGGGACUGAGACACGGCCCAGACUCCUACGGGAGGCAGCAGUGGGGAAUCUUGCGCAAUGGGCGAAAGCCUGACGCAGCCAUGCCGCGUGAAUGAUGAAGGUCUUAGGAUUGUAAAAUUUUUUCACCGGGGACGAUAAUGACGGUACCCGGAGAAGAAGCCCCGGCUAACUUCGUGCCAGCCGCCGCGGUAA
rnacentral:rRNA from 1 species